rnacentral:rRNA from 1 species
UCGGCGUGCCUAACACAUGCAAGUCGAACGAAGCGAUUAAGAUGAAGUUUUCGGAUGGAAUCUUGAUUGACUGAGUGGCGGACGGGUGAGUAACGCGUGGAUAACCUGCCUCACACUGGGGGAUAACAGUUAGAAAUGACUGCUAAUACCGCAUAAGCGCACAGUGCCGCAUGGCAGUGUGUGAAAAACUCCGGUGGUGUGAGAUGGAUCCGCGUCUGAUUAGCCAGUUGGCGGGGUAACGGCCCACCAAAGCGACGAUCAGUAGCCGGCCUGAGAGGGUGACCGGCCACAUUGGGACUGAGACACGGCCCAAACUCCUACGGGAGGCAGCAGUGGGGAAUAUUGCACAAUGGGCGAAAGCCUGAUGCAGCGACGCCGCGUGAGUGAAGAAGUAUUUCGGUAUGUAAAGCUCUAUCAGCAGGGAAGAAAAUGACGGUACCUGACUAAGAAGCCCCGGCUAACUACGUGCCAGCAGCCGCGGUAAUACGUAGGGGGCAAGCGUUAUCCGGAUUUACUGGGUGUAAAGGGAGCGUAGACGGCGAAGCAAGUCUGAAGUGAAAACCCAGGGCUCAACCCUGGGACUGCUUUGGAAACUGUUUUGCUAGAGUGUCGGAGAGGUAAGUGGAAUUCCUAGUGUAGCGGUGAAAUGCGUAGAUAUUAGGAGGAACACCAGUGGCGAAGGCGGCUUACUGGACGAUAACUGACGUUGAGGCUCGAAAGCGUGGGGAGCAAACAGGAUUAGAUACCCUGGUAGUGCACGCCGUAAACGAUGAAUGCUAGGUGUUGGGGGGCAAAGCCCUUCGGUGCCGCCGCAAACGCAGUAAGCAUUCCACCUGGGGAGUACGUUCGCAAGAAUGAAACUCAAAGGAAUUGACGGGGACCCGCACAAGCGGUGGAGCAUGUGGUUUAAUUCGAAGCAACGCGAAGAACCUUACCAAGUCUUGACAUCCCCCUGACGGGCCGGUAACGCGGCCUUUCCUUCGGGACAGGGGAGACAGGUGGUGCAUGGUUGUCGUCAGCUCGUGUCGUGAGAUGUUGGGUUAAGUCCCGCAACGAGCGCAACCCUUAUCCUUAGUAGCCAGCAGGCAGAGCUGGGCACUCUAGGGAGAUUGCCAGGGAUAACCUGGAGGAAGGUGGGGAUGACGUCAAAUCAUCAUGCCCCUUAUGAUUUGGGCUACACACGUGCUACAAUGGCGUAAACAAAGGGAAGCGAGACAGUGAUGUGGAGCAAAUCCCAAAAAUAACGUCCCAGUUCGGACUGUAGUCUGCAACCCGACUACACGAAGCUGGAAUCGCUAGUAACCGCGAAUCAGAAUGUCGCGGUGAAUACGUUCCCGGGUCUUGUACACACCGCCCGUCACACCAUGGGAGUCAGCAACGCCCGAAGUCAGUGACCCAACCGAAAGGAGGGAGCUGCCGAAGGCGGGGCAGGUAAC